rnacentral:pre_miRNA from 11 species
UGGUUGCCUAGCUCUGAGAACUGAAUUCCAUAGGCUUUAGAAUAAUUGAAACGCCCCGUGGAUUCAGUUCUACAGCUAGGCAGCAACUAAACUCCAG